GGGCCCUCCCCUUGCGUCGCAACCCCUGCGGCUCCACUUUUCCCGCGUGAUUCUUGCUUCCGGAGGCUGCGGAAGCCCGGCAGUGUCGCAAGGACAAGACUGAGUGCAUGGAUCUAGCAAGCAACCUAUUGUCAAGGAGGAGCCAGCAAGGAUUUUGAUUGUUCCGGAGUCAUCAGCAGAAGCCAGAAGGUUUUCAGUUUCAUUCAGUGAAACACAGUUGAUUUCUUCUUCAUUCGCAUGAAAAUCGUCCAAGGAUCCUUUGAGAGACCUGACAUCCAUACGCGGGCCCCUCACUGCUGCGGCCUCUCCCGUUGCGGAGCACAGGCUCCGGACGCACAGGCUCAGCGGCCAUGGCUAACGCACCCAGCCGCUCCACGGCAUGUGGGAUCUUCCCGGACCGGGGCACGAACCCGUGUCCCCUGCAACGGCAGGAGGACUCUCAACCACUGCGCCACCAGAGAAGCCCCCAGCAAUGUGUUUUAACGAGCCCUCCAGGAUGGACUGACUCUACUUAUCCUUGAAGCUGUAAAAGAAACUUCAGUGCCUUUCCAGACAAAUCUUGGACCGUCUUCCUUUGAUGGCUGAAAGCUGAAAAAUGAAUAAUAAAUAAAACUCCGAAGCCUGAGAUCUAAA